UACGGAGGGUGCAAGCGUUAUCCGGAUUCACUGGGUUUAAAGGGUGCGUAGGCGGAUAGGUAAGUCCGUGGUGAAAUCCUGCAGCUUAACUGCAGAACUGCCGUGGAUACUAUCUAUCUUGAAUAUCGUGGAGGUUAGCGGAAUAUGUCAUGUAGCGGUGAAAUGCUUAAAUAUGACAUAGAACACCCAUUGCGAAGGCAGCUAACUACGCGAUCAUUGACGCUGAUGCACGAAAGCGUGGGGAUCAAACAGG
rnacentral:rRNA from 1 species